rnacentral:rRNA from 1 species
UACAGAGGGUGCAAGCGUUGUUCGGAAUUAUUGGGCGUAAAGCGCGUGUAGGCGGCUUUGCAAGUCGGGUGUGAAAGCCCUCAGCUCAACUGAGGAAGUGCGCCCGAAACUGCAGAGCUUGAAUACCGGAGAGGAGACUGGAAUUCAUGGUGUAGCAGUGAAAUGCGUAGAGAUCAUGAGGAAGACCAGUGGCGAAGGCGGGUCUCUGGACAGUUCCUGACACUGAGGCACGAAGGCCAGGGGAGCAAACGGG